UGGGGAAUAUUGCACAAUGGGCGCAAGCCUGAUGCAGCGACGCCGCGUGAGGGAUGACGGCCUUCGGGUUGUAAACCUCUGUUAGCAUCGAAGAAGCGAAAGUGACGGUAGGUGCAGAGAAAGCGCCGGCUAACUACGUGCCAGCAGCCGCGGUAAUACGUAGGGCGCGAGCGUUGUCCGGAAUUAUUGGGCGUAAAGAGCUUGUAGGCGGUUGGUCGCGUCUGCUGUGAAAGGCUGGGGCUUAACCCUGGUUUUGCAGUGGGUACGGGCUAACUAGAGUGCAGUAGGGGAGACUGGAAUUCCUGGUGUAGCGGUGGAAUGCGCAGAUAUCAGGAGGAACACCGAUGGCGAAGGCAGGUCUCUGGGCUGUAACUGACGCUGAGAAGCGAAAGCAUGGGGAGCGAACAGGAUUAGAUACCCCCGUAGUCC
rnacentral:rRNA from 1 species